AUCCAAGCAUAUAUAUGGCACAUAACUUACAGGGGAUGCCCUUGCUACUAAACUACCCUAUCCAUAUCCAUUUGUUAAAUGUAGGACAUUUUGCUAUUUAACACUAUCCAAGCGCCAGUACAAUGUCACUUUCACAACACCCCAUACCCUUGCCUAUUUUCCAAUGCACUUCGGCUCUAGUACAGAUUAUUGCAAGAAUUGAAUGCCCCAAUGGUUUACCUUCUGUAUGUGAAGGAAAAAAAAAAAUUACUUAUCAUAGACUGCCA
rnacentral:misc_RNA from 1 species